rnacentral:rRNA from 1 species
UACAAGCACCCCGAGUGGUCGGGACGAUUAUUGGGCCUAAAGCAUCCGUAGCCGGUUCUACAAGUCUUCCGUUAAAUCCACCUGCUUAACAGAUGGGCUGCGGAGGAUACUAUGGAGCUAGGAGGCGGGAGAGGCAAGCGGUACUUAGUGGGUAGGGGUAAAAUCCGUUGAUCCAUUGAAGACCACCAGUGGCGAAGGCGGCUUGCCAGAACGCACUCGACGGUGAGGGAUGAAAGCUGGGGGAGCAAACCGG